rnacentral:lncRNA from 1 species
UAACAAUCACCAACAAAUCCAACAGGGUUCUAUCUAUGCACCCCUCCUUUUAAACCAAAAAAAUUAAAUUAAAUUUCUCUUUUUAUUUGCAUAUUAUAACAGUGAAUAGUUUUGCUACGGCUGCCAAAUGGGGCCAUCGCCAUUGUAGUUGCUGUAGACCUUGUUGAUUGGACUUCAAAAGCUUUGGUUCAAGAGGUGUGUGGUUUAUGAGAGAAAGAAAAGCUAUUUUGAUAUUGAGUUGGCUCAUUUUUAUAAAAAAAAAAAAUUACAAAAAAGUGAUUGGGAGAUGAGGAGUUGAGGAGUUGAGACUGAGGGCGUGUUUCUUUUUUUUCCUUUCUGGAUUUUUCUUUUUGUUUUUUUUUCCUCUCUGAUUUUUUUUUUUUUUUUUUGGUUUCCUACAAUAAACUGUUAAUUAUUAAACACUAAGAUUCGUUAUUAUUUGCUACCCACCCAUAGUGGGUGGGUUGUCCAACUUACUUAGUCUCUAUCACAUCGCAAUCACUUUAAUGUUCUAUUUAGUUACAAGCCAACGUUACAAGACUCGGUAAUUACAAGAUCUGAUAUAAGUAUUUACAAAUAUUUGCAUCAUUUAGUCACUUUCCAAUGUGGGACUCUACUGUCCUGAUUUUCAAGUGACAUAAUUAAUAAUGGUUAAUAGAACCACAUUAAUUAAUAAUGUUUAAAGUAAAGGGACUUUGCAAAUUCAAUGGCAAAGUGUAUGAUCUCUUAUGUGGACUCAACAUGAGAAACUCUUAUGGAGCCAGAGCUGAGAUUUUGGGAAGAGGGAAAACACCCAUGUAUAUAAGGCUAUGCCUUGCUGGAGCUGCAUCACUGCAUGACCAGUCAAAAGAGUCUGUUGUUUUCUCAGGCACCAGUUAGCACAAACAAAAUUGGCAUGCCUGAUCGGUACUUAGCCACCAGCUUCGCAAUGCUUCCUCCUUCAGUCAGGACUUAGGACUAUAAAAUUCCACAUCGAAAACCAUGGAAUCAAAUUUCCAUAUCUUUCGACCAUUGAAUCAUCAAAUUUUCAUAAAUCUCUUCCCGAGAGAUUCAUGCACCAAGCUCUCAGAGAUUCAGACCAAAGCUCCUGAACAUAGCUUUGCCUACACCAAGAAAACUAUCGAACCAGCGUUUGGGCGCAAGCUCCCUGAGAUUUUUGAUAAUUUUGAAGAUAAACCUGUAGCAUCUGGAAGUAUUGCUCAAGUGCAUCGAUCGAGAGCUACUUUGAGAUUUAGGUACCCUGGUCAACAUGCGAAACCCCAUAGUAGUUGCCGUAAAGGUCAGGCAUCCUGGUGUUGGUGAAUCGAUUAGGAAAGAGUUUGUUAUAAUCAAUCUGGUAGCAAAACUUUCAAACUUCAUUCCUGCUUUAAAGUGGUGGAGAUUGGAUGAUAGCGUAUAGCAGGUUGUAGUUUUUAUCAUGUUGCCCAUUUGAGCAAGGGAAGCUGCUCAUUUGCAUCCACUUGUCCAUCCUGCUGUUUUGGUGGAAACUUAUGAACAAGGGGAAUGUUGUAUAAUGCGUGGAUUUUGUGUCCCUUAUUAAAAAUUUUGUAAAAAAAAAUUAUGUGUAUUAAACACGAAAAAUACAUACGUACAUGUAUAAUACGAGUAUUGUAUGUUUGGUUUUCAAUGACUUGGACCUUGGGGCUCUUGGGUUCUCGGGAAAUCUAACUAAGACAACCAAACGAAAUAAGUAAUUUAUUUUUUUUUGACUUCCAUUUAACUUCAAGUACUUACUAUUUAUUAAGUCAUUUGUUAAAUCAGUAACAUAUAUAAAUAUUGACUAAAGAUAUAAUAAUCAAAACAAAAUUGCUAAUUAAAGUAAUUCAAAAAGGCUAAGAUAUUACUUUAUUAAAUAUAUUAAAUAAAAGAAGUUGACCCAAAAAACAAAAUUAAAGAAACAAAUUUUAUUUUUUUUCCAAAAUUAAUACAAAAAACCUCUCCCAACGAAAGGUUGUCAGCACAUAUCUACGCCGGCGAAAUUUGCUGGAUUAGCAAUGUAUAGCCGCACGACUAUACUAUUUCUUUUCAAAAAAUUUAAAUAUCCGAGUACAACCGCAUUACAACUUAGAAUUUUGUGUAUAAUACGUGAAUUUUAUGUGUCUUAUUGAACUUUUUAUACCAAAUACGUGUAUUAAACACGUAAAAUACGUACGUACCUGUAUAAUACUAUUUUUCCAACAUUAACUGAAUGUGGCUAUACUAUUUCCUUUAAAAAAAAUUAAAAAUCCGAGUCUAGCCGAAUGGCUAUACGUUAGCAAACAGCGUAAAGCCGCUCGGCUAUACUAGUUUAAAAAACAAUUCUGGGUAUAGCCAGUCGGCUAUACUAUUUAUAUAUAUAUAUUUUAAAAAAAGACACCCGCACAUCGCCUAUGCGCCACGUGUAAAAAAAAGUUAAAGCCAAGUGUCUAAACUAUUUUUUUGACAAAAAUCAGGGGCAAACCGAGUAUAGCCGUGCGGCUCUACAAUUUUUUUCAAUUCUUAUUUAAAAAAUUCGGGUAUAGCCGCACGGCUGUACUAUUUUGGCACAUUACAACUUAAAAGUUCAGCCACUAUAUUAUAUUUUAAUAUAAAUUAUUUUUAUUCAAUAAUGCGUGUGAAUUUUGUGUGUAAUAAGUGAAUUUUGUGUGCCUUAUUGAAAUUUUUGUAAAAAAAGUAUGCGUAUUAAACACGAAAAAUACAUACAUACUUGUAUAAUACGAGUAUUGUACGUUUAGUUUUCAAAGACUUGGGCCUUGGGGCUCUUGGGCUCUUGGAAAAUCUAAUUAAGACAACCAAAUGGAAUAAGUAAUUUAUUUUUUUGACAUUCAUUGAACUUCAAGUACUUACUAUUUAUUAAGUCAUUUGUGAAAUCAGUAACAUAUUUAAAUAUUGACCAAAGAAAUAAUAAUUAAAACAUAAUUACUAAUUAAAGUAAUUCAAAAAGGCUAAGAUAUUACUUAAUUAAAUAUAUUAAAUAAAAGAACUUGGCCCGAAAAACAAAAUUAAAGAAACAAAUUGUAUUUUUUUCCAAAAUUAAUGUAAAAAACCUCUCCCGGUGGAGCAUGCUGGAUUAGCAGAGUAUGGCCGAACGGCUAUCCUUUUUAUUUUCAAAAGAAUAAAAAAUUCGAGUAUAGCCGCACGGCUGUACUCUUGUGCCACAUUACAACCUAGAAUUUUGUGAAUAAAACGUGAAUUUUAUGUGCCUUAUUGAAAUUUGUAUACCAAAUACUAGUAUUAAACACGAAAAAUACGUACGUACCUAUAUAAUACUAUUUUUGCAACAUUAACUGAAUCUCGAUUCAACAUUAGCAUAGUAUAGCCGCCCAUGAAGAUGAGGGGCCAACUGUAGCUGAGGUUUAUUCCCUAGCCACGGGCACAUGGAGGAGUCUUGGUUGUGUUUCUCCUGCAUGUGGAACAAAUGGAGCUGCAUCCAAUGCUUUUGUUAAUGGGGUUCUUAAUUGGCCUGUAGUCUCAGACGACGAUGGUUGCUAUUUUAUUUUGACGUUUGACUAGGGCAAGAAGAUGUUUGGAGUGGUGGAGUGCAUCCAUAUGAACUCAAGAAGAUUGUGCAGAAUUUGGACCCCAUGGAGAAUUGAAAUGGAAAAUUGAAUAUUAAUUUUUCCAGUACAUAUAUAAUUGAACAUUAAUUUUGAAUGAAGAAGAAUAUUCAUUAUGAGUCAUGACGAAGGAAAAUCUUGUUUAACUUUAUUUGAGUGAACUAUACUUUUUAAACAUGACUAUACAUACUGGCCAAAACAUUGCACCUCCUUUAAAAAAUUCCUGAGUUCGCCAAUGCCUAUACUAUUUAUUAAGAGUGCUGCUAUUUCCACCCAUCUGUCCUAUUUUCUCACCCACCUUAUUUUCAAAAAUUUUAAGACAAAUUUACCCAUGUAUAAAAUGACUUCUAAGGACUUAGGGACAAAACCAAUCUCCCUCACCUAAGUGUGAGCAACCAUUUUAUACCAGCCAUUGAAUUAAUCUCACAAUACAUAGAGCCUUUUAUUAACUUAAAUUCUUGACCCGCACAUUGCACACAACUUCUUCUUCCUCAUCUAGCCAUUCUCUUUGUUUUCUAAAAGCUUCCCAAGGUUUUACUAUUUUUCCAUCAUAAAUCUGAUUUCUCUCAAAGGUACUAUCAUUUUCUCUGCGAAAUAAAUGUGGGCAAAAUUAAUUUUCCCUUCAAAGGCUCUUAUUAUCCUUUUAAGAUUUCAUGAAAUUCUAUGUAAUGAAGUUGUUUAAUUUUCGUCUAUUGCCUAUAAACAACAAGCGAUUGGGAUUAUUUGAUUGAGGGAGAUCAACAUGAUAGGAGCCUGGGGACCAUAAGCAUUUGAACCCAUGCUUUAACUUCAUAUUCUUCAACCACAUAUGUACUAAAAUAAAUAAAUAAGACAUUAAAGAAGACCUAAAAGAAAAUAAAUACUCAAAUCCCCUCUUAUACCGCACACAACCCCUCUCAUCACAAAGCACAUGUGUCACCUCCUCCUGGAUGAGAAAGAUGGAUGAACUCUUGAAAGAACCACAAUCGGCUUGGAGGAAAGAAAGAGGGUUUCCCUCAAUACGGGUCAAGAAGUAAAAUGGAUAUUCGUUGGGUUUUUGAAAGAAUUUGCUUUGAAUUAAUAAUUAAAGGGUAUUUUAGGAAUAAUGGUGGGUGGAAAGAUAGGGUUUUGUUUUUUUUUUUAAUUUACAUGGUGGGUGGGAAGAUAAGGUGGGUGAGGAAAUUAGACAGGUAGGUGGAAAUAGUAGCACUCUUUAUUAAAGACAAUUUAUAAAUAAAAAACCAGUAUAGCCACUCAGCUAUACUAUCUACUAGAGAGAGAGAAAAAAAAAAGAGCAACGCCUAGGUGCUUACAUGCAAAAUAGUAUAGCCGUGCGGCUAUACGUUUUUAAAAUUGAAAAACUGACCAUAGCCAGGCGGCUGUACUAUGUGUUGGUGAUCGCAACUAGGACGGUGUAAUGUCCAUUAAUCAUGAAAAAUAUUUAUUGGUAUUUUUUUAAAAACAAAACUCCAUCAUUAUUAAUGGUUUUAUUGUAUAAGUUAUUUGGAAUUUAAAAAAAAAAUAUUUUAGGGAAGUAUUCGUUUUAUUUUUCAAAUGUUUAUUUAAUUAAAUUUUUAUUAUUGUUUAUUCUGGAUAGACGAUUUUACCCUUAAACUUAAUAGCAAAAUUGACAGACUUUGACGGUAUGACCAAUUUGACACUAAAUAGAGAGUUGGAGGGCUAUUGAAAUGAAAAUUUUAGUUGGUGGACUAACAUGAGAUUGGAGCAAAAGUUGCGAGACCAUUUCGGUCAAUAACCAUGCAAAUAAAGAUGUGUUGAGGCCCAAAAAAUCCAAGGCUGAGCCCAGAUAUAUUUAUAGCCCAGUAUGACACCUAACUUGGGAAGAAACCCGACUUGAGUACGCAGGAGUUCAUCAUAUGCGCUUGCAUACAUGCCACGCCAAGCAAAUAUGCAACAUACCAUGCAGAAAGGUCAUAACAAGCCCGUAAAAUGUACUAGUUCUAUGAACCCAUACUCAUUAUCCCGUUAAGAGCCAUUUUGGCCCAACCAUAGCCUUUACAAAACGGCAAAGCUCGAGCACAAGCACGCCAAACGAAAAAUUCUUAUUUUUGCACCAAGCCACGCUACAAGUUUAAGUAGGCCCAAGCCACGCGAAUGCCUAGGGCUUGCUGAGCGCGUUGUGGUAUGGAUGGUUACGAGUAUUCACGAGGCUCAUUGAUGGUCCAAUGAGUGAAAGUUUUGGGUUAUUUGGGAGCACCAAAACUCAAGCUCAUUCCUUAAGCCCAAACAUAUAGGUAAGAAUAAGAGAGAAAACCCAAUAGCCCAUCACCUUAAGAAAAUGCCCAAACAUCUUAGAAAAUAUCCAAUAGCCAUAGCCCACAACACUUAGAAAUAUCCCACAUCAGUCAAAAUAUCUAGCACCUUGUCAAAACCAAGGCAAACCCAAGUGAACACAAGCUGCUCCCAGCACCUUGUCAAAACCAAGGCAAACCCAUAUGCACAGGUUGCUGGAAGUAAAUAACCUUUUGACCAACAUCCUUACCCAUUCUUUCCUCUGCAAGCUCUGGUGGGAAAACAAGAAGGAAAAGCAAGGGGCACCUCACCCAGAUGGAGGAUUCCAGCAGUAGGAAAGUCUUGGAACCCUAAAAAGCUCUGCUUCUAUGUGUCUGGGUUGAGGAGAUUUCACCAAAAAAGGAUUGAAUGGAAGAAAGUGAAGAAAAAUAGAGAAGAAGACUUGAUAAAAUUGAGGGCUUCCAACUCCUAUAAAAGGAGGUACCUUCUACCCAGUAAAACAACUCUUCCAGAGCGAGCAACAUCCUUACUCAUUGCUGUAAGCAUCAAUUUCAUGCUCUAUUCUUUCAUCUUCUUCCUCUCUCUCCCAUAACCAUAUCCAGAGAGAGCAAGCAUCCCCUCUCACUACUGGAACCCUUCAAUUUCAUGCUCUGUUCUUCCAUUUUCUUCCUCUCUCUCCUAUAACCAUAUUCAGAUAUAGCAAGCAUCCCCCUUCACUAUAGGAACCCCUUCAAUUUCGAGCUCUGUUCUUCCAUUUCUCUUAUGGAAAAACACCCAAGAGAGUGACGAAGCUUUUGUCAAGCUGCUGGAAGAUUUGCUCAAGCCACCCAUUCUUCCACGCUUAUCUUUUCCUCUCUUCCCUCAACAAAUCCUCUCAAAAUUUCAUCUCCCCUUGCUUUGAACCCCUGUUUCUCAUAGGAAAUCCAAGUCUUCUCUCUCUAAUACUAAACUCAUAAAUACUUAGCUCUCAUACCACAAGCUUCUCAAGCUAAGCGAAAAUGUUUAUCUAUAAGCAACUGUUGGUUUUGUUGGUAAAGGAAACCAAGGUGCUUCCUAAGGCUCCACGAACCUCUCGAAGCACUCUUGGAGCCUGAUUUUUGAACUCAGACACAAGGGUAACUCUAGCCAUUUGCUCUUUACGGCAGCUCACGCCUAUCUGUAGCUGCUGGAAUAAAAAAAACCCAACAAGAUGCAUAUAUAAAAGAAGUGUUAUUCGUUUUAUUAGUCUUUGAACUUUGACCCGAUUUGCAUUUGAGUCCCUCAAUUUUCAAAACGUUCCCUUAGUCUUUCAACUUUAGUUUCGUUAGGACAAAUGGUCAUGCCGUCAAUUUUGUUAACUUUUUCUAUUAAAUGCAGAGGUAAAAUGAUAUUUUUGUAUUAUUUUUAAAUUCCUAUUUAUGAAUAUUCCUUCCACCCAAAAAAUAAAAUUAUAAAUUAUAAACUAAAAAUUAAAAAAAUCUUAUUCCUAUCCUCAGUCAAACUAAUAAUUAAAAAUUAGUUUAUUCCUAAAAACUUGAAUUUUUUUUUCUUAUUAUUUUUUUAUUUUUAAUAUUUUAUUCAUAUUUUAAUCAAUUUAAAAUUAAAAUAUAUAGAAAAAUACCAUUUACCCCUGCAUUUAACAGAAAGGUUAACAAAAUUGACGACAGGACUAUUUGUCCCUCAAUUUUCAAAAUUGUUCCCAUGGUCCUUCAACUUCUGUUUCGUUAGAACAUAUAGUCAUACCGUCAAUUUGUUAUCUUUUAUGUUAAAUGCAAGGGAAAAAUGGUACUUUUUGUAUUAUUUUUAAUUUUCAUAUUUUGAAUAUUCUUUUCACCCAAAAAAUAAAUAAAUAAACUAAAAACUAAAAACCUUCUUCUUAUUCUCGCCACAGUAGCCAUAACCCCUUGACCAUGUUUGACUGAGGAUAGGAAGAAGGUGUUUUAGUUUUUAGUUUUUUUAUUUUUUGGGUGAAAGGAAUAUUCAAAAUGUAGAAAUUAAAAAUAAUACAAAAAUAUCAUUUUGCCUCAGUAUUUAACAGAAAAAGUUAACAAAAUUAAUGGCAAAACCAUUAUUCCUAACGAAACUAAAGUUGAUGGACCAUAGGAAUGAUUUUGGAAAUUGAGAAACCAAAAUAUGAAUCGGGUCAAAAUUCAGAUACCAUUAGAUCUGAAAACCCUUGUGGUGAAAUAGGUAUGAGAGAGAAUAUCUUAAGGGAAUAGUUGUUCAACCACGGAACAAACUCAAGGUAUUAUGAUAUUAUAUUUUCAUCUUCAUUUUUUUUAUUAUAAAUGUUUGUGAAUGUAACACUUUGCUCUCACAUAUUGCAUUUUUCGCAAAACACAAUCAACAUCUUUAUAUAGUGGAGAGUUUCAACUUAAGAAUAAGAAAUCUUAUCAAGUAAGUACGAUUGGAAAUCAAGAAAGCAACAAAUAAAGUAAAGUUGGGAGUUUUAACCCACUCCAUAUCCAUCUUUUUUUUUCUUUUUUUUUUUUUUUUUUUUAUUUUUUUUAGACCACACAUUCCAAGAAAGAAAAGAUGUACACACAAAAGCCAUGCUCCAGAAUGAAAUGGCAAAUCCACACAGUACCACGUUUGUGUACCAGGAGACACGUGUACGCCAACAUCUCAGCAUUGUCAUUUCUUCUGUUUUCUUCAUAAUCCAUAUGCCUUGGAAACUUCCUUCAUUUGUCUGUGUCUUAUUGCAAUCUGAGAGCUGGUGUUCAGCCAUGAGAGGCCAUCUUUUUCCUCUGCACACCUUCUCAUCAAGGUCCUCCUCACUUUUGAGGUCCUUAACAGCAUGCCACAACCAGGUAAGUUUCAAAUCACCAAUUAAUUUACAUCAUAAUCAUGUUCAUGAUCAUACCCUUCCUUAAUCUGUAAUUAAUUAAGGUACCCUUUAAGUCAAAAUAGGAUAUAUAACAUUGAUUUCUAAUAUGAUUGGGUGAAUCAAUUGGGGCUUAAUUGCUAUAACAUGUGGAUUUUUUUAAUACAAGUGAUAAACUAUUCUAAAUUAGUCCAAUUUGCGGAGAGAGGGACUAGAAAUUGGUGCAAGGACGGGCUCAUUAUCCAGACUAACUGACCUAAUCCACGUUUGCUAUGUGGAACUUUAAUUCAGAGGUACCAAAGCAGUCAAGUUAGCAAGGGAGAGCACAGCAGCCACAUGAAUAUAGAAGAGAGAGCACCUUCAACAGCUGAGGAGUUCAAAAGAGUUGCUGAGGAGAAGCUGAAGAAGGCAGAGCAAGGUGUAGCUAGUCAAACUGCUGACAAGACAUGUGAUGCGACAGAGGAAACUACCUUGGGUGACUCCAGCGUUGACUCUGUCAAGAACAGGUUCAAGCAACAUGAACCUGGUGCUGCUGAUUACAGAAGGAGGUCACAUGAUGACUGAAUAAUUUUGAUUGCCUAAUCAAUACUUUGUUUUGAUUUUCUGAGCAAUAAAAGAAAAUCUGGAUAUCAUAAAGAUUAAGAGCCAAGGGAAGCCAGAUUGUGUAAAUUAUAUAUAUCCAAGAACUCAACUUCAACUUGGUUGAGGAGUGUUAAUAUAAACCUUCAAUCUUUGCGCUCAUUUAUAUGGUAGCAAGCAAUUGCACUUGUGUACUUGGUAGCUUUAAUUGAAAACUUGAAAUAUAUGUACAUAAAGCUGCUGCUGCUGCUGCUUAUUUGGAUCAUGGUCUGCAACUGCAAUUCAUUAAUAGGGCUGAUACAUGAUCACGUUGUUUUCACCUUUGCAAUAUACUCAUAAGUUACAUCCUGCGUUGUAACUGAUAGCAUUCAAAGGUUGAUGAAUCAACGUACGUUUGCUCCAAGCAAUUUGAAUUUGACAACCAUUUUUGGAUGCUCUGCAAACUCAUCGGCUGGGUCAUAUAAUUCCAGCAUCAAUAAAAAUUAAAUACAUAAUCCCCAAAAUGUCCGUGAAUAUCAUAACUCCUUCCUUGAGCAUAUUGGGUUUUUGUUUGUCUUAUGCCACAUAUGCACCUAAUAGAAAUGUAAGCUAUAACUUUUGUGUUGGUUGUAAAGCAGCAGACUGUGUGAUUCAAAUAUAUUAUGAACCGCGGAAUUUAGUUGCAUUGACUUGCAGAUCAGUGGUCUCAGAUUUGAAUCUUUAUGACACCAUGAUAGUGAGAAAUCCCUCUCUCCUCCAUUGUAGUUUUAUACUAUCGCUUAUAUUCCAAAAAAAAAAAUUAUAUUACCAACCAAUCAACAAGAACCAUUCAUCUAGCUAGAAGUAAGUGUCAAUAAUAACAACUGCAAAAUGAAAAUUGGUAAACUUAUUUAUCUCUUUCUGUCAAAUAAUUAAACUUCCUUUAUUCCCCCUUUGCAUUUCUUUCUUUGUACAUUGGGUUAGUAAUGUAUGGUGCUUUGCUUCACAAAAUUAUCAGACCCUUCAAAGACACUUUCAUACAUACAUCCUAUUAGCUAGCUAGAAGCUAUUAAUGGUUGAUUAAGAGACAGAUAAUCACCUUCUAAUCUAUCCAAUUUAGCAAGAACCCCAACUAAUGUUGCUGUAUUGUAAGUACAUGCCUCAGUCUGCAUGUAAUUCCACCUUUCAUCCCUGAAUCCAUCAUUGCCAUCUGGCCCACCAACUAGGGCCCCAACAAGCACAUUUGGGUUUGGAUCAUGCAUCCCAUACCAGCUAUCAUACCCCUCAGUGCACCCAAUAAAUCCUUUGUUCCUCUUGUAGGACUCUAUAGAUGCUCCUCUGUGGUGCAGCCUUUGGGGGUAUUUUGGACCAUAACCCACCAAGUAACUCAUGGCCGUUGGAUUAGACCCCAAAAUGUAAUCAACCUGUGAUUUGGCAAAAGAUAGGAGUUCUUGUGGGCCCACCUGCCCUUUAUCACAAGUUAGAUUCUGAUGAGUGGCUUGGAGAUAAUCAGAGUAUGUCGUGAGUAGAAAUGCUGCGUUGGAAACAUACUGCAUGUUGUUCCACUGGCGGAUGUACAAUAAGCCUCCUGGGGUGCGUUGCACAUUAGUGACAUUGUUUUUGUCAAGGCAAGCACAAAUGUAAAACUCUGCUUUUGAACGGUAUUGUUCCAGUAUGUGCAUGUGUUGCUUAUGCUUCUCCUCUUUUAGCAACUGAAAAAGAAAACGUAUAUGAGAGUUAAGGAAUUAAAACCAAUUAAUUAUAUAUUUGUUCAGUCAUCACAUGGUAAGUCAAAUCCCCUAUUAUAUAUUAAAACCAAUUAAUUAUAUAUUUGUUUAGUAAUCACAUGGUAAGCCACAUCCCUAUUAUAUAUAGGGUUGUGAAAGGGCUUGAUUUGCUGUCUCAAGUUCGAGCUCGCGUUGCGCAUUGGUAGUGUAUGCGUUGAGAAAACCCUCCUUCUCCCUUAUAGUUUAGAUUAUCGUUUGUAUUGUUAAAAAAUAGGAAUAAAAAUAGAAGUGGAAAAGUGGUCAAGAUUGAGAUUAUGUACCAUUGAAGCAAUGAUCUGAACACCAGCAUACUUAACAUCCCAGCUAAACUCUUUGAUGGCCCAAGUGGUGCCUCCAAAAGCCUGAGCAUUGUUCAAAGCAUACUUCAAAUAAUCUUCAUUGUUUGUGGCCUUGUACAACCACAAAGCUGCCCACAGCAACUCAUCCAUGUACCCACUCCAAGAUGUGUAGUGCCCCUUGACCACUUCAAUGCUCUCAUCAUACUUCCCCCUGUACUUGUCACCAAGCUCAAACAACUGCCAACAAAUCCAAAUCCCAGAUUAAUUAUUAUAUGAAUUUCAUAAUAUUGGACCUUAUAGUAAAAUAUCCGAGAGUGCAUAUUGGCCAAAGGUCCAAAAACCAUUACAUUUUGGUAACCAGUACACCCACUUUGCAUAUUUGUAUAUCAACCUUUUAUAUUUCUAUACAUGACAACUUCACAUUAAUUAACUAUAAAUAUGAUACCUGUUGUGCAUGGUGCAAGAGUAGGCCAGAGUAAUGUGGGUUGGUUUUCCUAAACACAAUGGCAGCUGCCGCCAUUGCCGCCGCUGUCUCGCCGGCAAUAUCUGAUCCGGGGUUGUUCUCAUCAACCUUGUAGGCUUGACGAGACGUGGUCAUGUCCUCAGGCCUUUGCCAACAGUAGUGAUCCGUAAAUCCAUCACCCACCUAAAAUCACAAACUCAUAAUGAAUCAAUUGAACCGACUCAACUUUUUAAGAGUAUGAUAUGUUAUGUUACAAAACUACGAAUAUAUAUAGGGUAGAAAUUCAUUCAAGUAAAAAUUCAUUUGACAUUAUUAUUGAAUUAUUACCUCACCCCACAAAACAUUUGGGUGAGUAUGGGCCUUGAUGAAAUAAUCAGUCCCCCAUUUGAUGGCUUCCAAAGCAUGCUUAUACUCUCCAGCUUCCUCCAUUUCUCCGCCGUAUUCAAUCACACCCCAAGACAGCAUUGUUAUGGUAAAUGCCAUUGGCAGACCAAAUUUCACAUUGUCACCAGCAUCAUAGUACCCUCCCACCAAGUCCACCUGAAAAUACACAUGAAGGCCAAACAGAACGGCACAGCAUUAAACACAAAGAGCACAUUUAUUAUAGGAGUGGGCACGGUCCGGUUCGGUAAAUUGAAGAUUUGUAAUGAAAAAAUGGACUGACCCCUUGUUCAAGGCCAUCGGUAAGGCCAGAAUGGUGACGCCAAGUGACCCUUUGGUUGUAGGGUAGGCGCCCAGAACGCUGGGACUCAAAGUAGAGGAGGCUCUUGGAGAGGGCGUCGCCGUAGUCGAAGGACUGAGAUGAGGAAAUGAGAGCAAAGAUGGAGAGUAGAGCACACCAUUGUUGGAGGACAAUACCUUGCUUCUUAUUGUCCUCCAUAAUAUGAUUAAGAUUUUUUGGUUUCUUCUCUCUUUUCUUCCUCCCACCAGGGGCCUCUACCUAUUUAUAUUCCUGGUGUGAUUUGUGUGAGGUCAAGACCACGUGAGCUUCAUUGGGGGCGCCCAUUUGAUUGGCCAAUCCCAGGAGUCUUUUGCUCUGUAUUUUGACUUUGGCGAGUAUGAAUGCCACGUGAUAGGAAAAGAUUGAUAUAAUUCUUUCCCCAAUUCUUGUACAAGUUAUUUACACUAACACCCUCUCCGAUUUUCGAUUUUUUUUUACAAAAUUCUCUAAAUUUUUGGAAAUUACACGAAUAUCUCCUGAGAUUUUAAAAUGCUUUACAAAACCUCUUUUUGUUGAUUUUUCAUCGAAGAUAGAUGAUUUUAUAAUUUUAUAUAAAAAUAAUAAUUCUCCAAAUGACAAAGCUAGCCUUUGAUAUUAGACUACACAUACAUUCACUGAGGUUGAUUUUGCCAUUUGCACAACUUUUUUUAUAAUGAAAUCAUCAAGUUUUAGACAAGCAAUCAACGAAAAUGAAUUUUGUGAAAACUACAAAAUCUCAGGAAGUGUUUAUGUCAUUUUUAAAACCCCAUAAAAUUUUAUAAAAAAACCGAAAAUAUAAAAAUGUUAGUGCAAAUAACUCUUCACGUAGUCCAAAAAAAAUUGGACACAGAGAAUAUCUGCGCAAUAAGAAUACUAAUUACAUAAAUUUUAAUUUAAAAGGGAUACUAUCACGCUAGAAUUUUCUAAUUGGGCGCAUCACAUUUGACCGCACACUCAUAGACGAUUCUGAAUCAUAUAUUGGAACAUGUGUAAUACACAUUCAUUAAUGAUUCACAAUCGUGUCGUCCAUUAUAUGCCUGGUUUUUUAUUUAUUUAUUUUUAUUUACAAGAUUUUUGCUAUAUAUACAUAUUCUACUCAUAUUCUUAUUAGUAAUUUUUAGUUUGAAAAAAUUGGUGCUUUUACUCGUCAUUAUGGGCUUGAAAUUGGCUAGAUACGGAUAUGAAGUGCUCUCCUUGAAAUGAGAUUGCUCUAAUUAAGGUUUUGACCAAGAUCGGGGAAUAUUAUCUGGACUAAUUUAGCCCCCAAUCAUGUUAAUUAUGUUGAGCAUGAAAAAUAAGGUUGAUUUGAUGACUUGGAAAGAAUAGACAACCCGUCGGAUCAACCUUUGCAACUAAUUAGUUGCAUGAGUUUCUUUGUAUAGAAUAUUAUCUGAUAGCACCGCUGAUUUAUAAACAUGUUGGUUGGGCAUUCAAAAUUUGAAAGCCGUCGAAUCCAACAAAUUUAAUUAAGGUGGGAGUUAUGCUAACUCAUCAUGUUUAUCAACAUUUUUAAGAGGGUUGUUGAAAUUGAUGCUUAGGUGACGAGGGGUAAAAUUAUACGAUACUCAAACAAAACAUAACAAUCUUCACACACUUUUGACCUUGACCAAAUAUACUUAUGACUAGUCAACUGCUAGUCAUAAAUAAACAUAACCACACACAGAGCAUACCAAUCUGUACUUGCAAGUUUAAAAGAUUACUGGUGACAACCUAGGCACUCAAAAUGACCCGUCAAUCGAGGCAUCCCAUGUGCUACCAACAACUAGGGUAAAAAUGUGUGAAGGCAUCAUAAUCAAGUAAACACCAAACAACAUACAAUGAUGACUAGUUAAUCGCAAGAACACAAACCCAGAAAUACAUGAACAUUCUGCGAUGACUAGUCAACUAUUAAGAACACAAACCCAGAAAAUUACAGAGAUGCAAACUAGAAAUUGUUCACCCAUAAACCCAUCACUAGGAAAAACUGGGGGUCAUCAACUAACCAGGCAAUCCACAAAGCAAAAAAGAUUCUUAUAAAGAAACACAAGCAAGCUCAAGAAAUCCUAAAUCUAUUUAGGAAGAUAAGCUAUACCUCCUUUGUGCAAUCUUCUUCUCCAACUUAGCAAAACCAUCAGCUUAGUCCUUCAUGGCAAUGGUAGCUCCUUCUGCAACUCUUUCAUCCCAUGGCACCAGCUAGCCAGCUCAAACUCAGACAGAAACCAAAAUUUGGAUUCAAAGGAAAAAUGACCAAUUUCUUUAAGAAACCAUACUCUUGAAGAAAUGAAUCUUGAAUCUGACCUAGAGAUAUAUAAGAGAGCGUUUGACCUAGCUAAAUGCAAAUUUCAUAUUUUCAAAAGCAGUUUUCGAAAUAAUCAAUUUGGAAGAAGAGGAGAAAGUUAGCAAGAAACUUUCCAAAAACUUACAUCUAAAAGAGACGGAUGCCAAAUGAGGAAUUCUUUGGCUUUUACCCAAAAAUUCCUAGGUCAGAAUAAUACACAUGGCAGCUUAGAAAAUUCGCAUAAUAGGACAAAAACGUUUGUUAGGAUCCAACUGGAAAUCCUACUGAUGCAAAAGUUGACUAGUCAUACGAAAGCAGUUGAGAAAAUUCGCAGAAUACGACAAAAAAUUUGGUUAGGAUCCGGCUAGAAACUAGCUAGAAAUCCUACUGAUGCAAAGGUUGACCAGUCGUACGAAAGCAGCUGAGAAAAUUUGCAAAAUAUGACAAAAAAGUUUCAGUGAGCUGGAAAUCCUACUGAUGCAAAGGUUAACUAGUCAUACGAAAGCAGCUGAGAAAAUUUGCAGAAUAUGACAAAAAAGUUCCAAUGAGCUAAAAAUCCUACUUUUGCAAAGGUUGACUAGUCAUACGAAAGAAAGAUGACUAGUCAUAAUCUUAAGAAAUUUAGUGAAUGCAAUAUGAUGCAAUGUAGAAAUUACCUUUGUUAAACACAUUGAUUAUCCAUCAGAUUGUAGCCAGAUAAGAACACCUAGAGAAAUCAUUCUUAAUCUAAACUAGAGCUUGGGAAAUUACAAUGAUUGUCCUAUUACAAUAUUGUCAAGGGAAGCCAAAAGAAAAACACAAAAUGCAUACACUUACAGUUGUUGACCCGCUUGACUAGGUGGGUCAACGUAACACUUUAACUAUUACAUUUGGUAAAGAUUAAUAUAAUAAGCAUCUCCAAUAGUAGUAGUAAAUUAAACUCUUCAAAUUAAAGUUUGUUGAUAUAUGUAGCAAUUUAAAAAUGUUUGUUUGCUACUUUAAUAAUUUGUGCUCUACCAGAACCGUCAAAGCACCUAGAAGAAAACAACCACCAAUUAGCGAGCAAGCAUGAGACAUAACCCAAAGCUAAUUGAACGAACACCAAGAAACCUGAAGGAGGUAGUGCAAGCACCCAAGCUAUAUCUCUAUGCUUUUUACUAUAUGUACGCUAGAGAUCACGUUUAGGAUUUGUCGAUGUAACCCAAGGGAGAAGGAGAAUCUGAGUGAUAGACAGACAAGUAAUAGUCUGUCAAUGUUAGCAUCCUUUUUUUAAAUAUUAAAAAACACAAACGAUAGUUUAAACUACAAGGAGAGGGUUUCUCCACACACUACCAAGAUGUCAUGGGAAUUCGAACCUAAGACUACUGGUUUGCAAAUCAAUGCAUUUUUCCACUGGACAAGACUCGUUGGCCUUUUUAGUUAUUCCAAAAGCAGUUCCAUUCUAUAGUGAGGGCCUUAUAUAUAGCCCUUAGGUAAGGUUCUAUCUCUUAUUUUAGAUCAUGCUAACUAAUUUGAUCCAACGAUUAACUAAUUUGAUUCAACAAUUAAGAGAUAAUGCAUCACUUAAAGGCCAUAUAUAAGGCCUUCACCUUAGAAUUCUUGUAUAAAGCUAAUUAAGCUUAUUGAAGUUGCGGGCCUCUAGGGCACCAUUCUGUAUAGCCCGCGCCGUACCACAUAUCCUCGUCGAUGGUCAUUGAUUUCACCACAUUGGCAAUUUUGUAGUUUUUUGCAGCUAAAGCAACCAAACAUGUUGCUGCUCGCCCCUCUGAAUCCUAUAUGUGCAGCAAAAUCAGCAUUGUCUCCCUCCUCAUGUCCAAUGCAUCAAGGAAAAUAUGUAUGGUGCCUAGUCUCCUCUUUCUAAACGCGGUGUCUUCAGCGCUUGAAGCUUUGCGUCUUCACUAUUGAGCAGGACUUCAGAAAUGUCCAAUUUGAAAUUGUAGAGAGGAGAUUCGUGGGCUCUAUGACAAUAUAUCAAGAGGCAGGUGGGAACUCUACCCGAAUUUGAGCAGAAUUUGGGAUAAGCUUGCACACCCCAAUCUUAUUAAUGCUAACUGGUCUUUCUCCAUUUUGGUCCUGUUCCACAAUAGGUCAACUUCUCCUAACGGGUCUUGGAUGUUGCAUUUUCAAUCCUUCAAUUUCCUGGAUGGUGGUUGACUGGCUAGUGCGCUAGAGAGGUUUGCAAAGGCGGAGUUUGUGGAAUAUUCUUAUAUGUUAAUGCCAAACUCAAAUCAACUAUGCAAAUGCAACAAAUACGGGCAAAGCAAGAGAAAUUAUCAAUGAAAACACCUCAGGAACAACAACUCACCUACUAGUAAGUAGGUGCUGCUGCUGACCCCAAAAAUCAUAAAAAUAUAAAAACAAGGAAGCAUGUGAAAAGUACUAUGAUGACAACUGAAAAGGGAAGUUAACUAAAAAUUACAAUUAAAACAUCCGAAUAAAAAUUAUCCGAACUGACCACUAGAGGAGUGUAGGAAAUACAGAUGGAUUCCUGAAGCACAGGUGCCAAAGAUUUAAUCUAGGGGCUGAGGGCAAAUGUAAAGCAGCUGCCAAACACUGGCUCUAAUCUAAUGCAACAUGCAAAGCGAAAAAAAUAAUAAUGUUAGUGAAAACAUAUAAGAAGAUUUCCCCUUAACAUUCAUAACAGUAGGUAGGUGUUGGCUCCAAGUAUCGUACUACAAUCGAAGGGUACAGAAUCAUGCAAAUAGUCCUAUCACUGUUAUUUGAUAGGUGAAACAAUUUGUUCAGUAACUUGACCAAAAUAACUAUUAAAACACUCAAAUUUAAAUGAUCCUAAGCUAAUCUGACAAAAACUCAUAAAUGCUAAUGGCACUUGAUCAAUGUCAAUGAUGUCAAGGCUUCUUCUCAAAAUGUCUUAAUGUUUAAUGUGAUACAUGCUCUUGUAUGCAAAGUAACAUGCAGAUUUAUCACCUAAACAUUGGCUCCAAUGACAGACAAGGCCAUUUAAACCAAACCUACUUGCCAGCAAGGAUCAUCCUCAAGAUUCUCCUAAAGUAUGUAUUCUCCUCUCCAACCCCAAUAUCAGCAAAACUCUUCAUGGAAUGCUAUUGGUAACAAAUAGUGAACAUGAUAAAUCAGGUAGGAGAACACUACUAAAAACAAGUCACAGAACAAUUUCAUCUUGACAAAUCAAUUAACAGCCAAGCAUUUGUUACACAGCCAUCUCAAGAUGCACCCAUCCAAUCCCUCGUGAUCAAAUUCUAACCUUUUUUUAAGGGUAGCCAAUCAUUCACGACACACCAAAGAAAUAUAAGUCAGAGGAAGAGCAACAAGAACAUAGCAGAUUAGAGCCAAGCAAAAAGAAUAAGCCACAUGGAAAGUUACCAAGAAGAAACCAUACCUCAUAUACUUAGAAACCAUAAAACCAUACUUCAUACACACACAAUUGCCAUGUAUUGACAACAAACAUCUAGAAAUAAAGCUUAGACAAGACUAGUAGUGCUGAUAGAUACUAAAACUUCAGACAUCGUUUUCCAGAUAGUCAAAGUCUACAUAUACUUGGCUCCUAGUAGGAAAACAGCCAUCCAAAUUUAUUGACUAGGCAAAAGCACCUCCAGUUUGGUGAAGCAUUGCAUCUAUUUCAUCCCCAUCUUCCAUUUCCAAC